UCUAUUUCAUUUUUCUCUGUUAAGCUUUACUUGCCUGUGUAUUGGUUUGAAGCUUGGUCAGGUCUGGUUUACCAGACUGACCAGCUUACUCCUUGGAUUUGCACCCUUUCCUGCCCUUGAACUAAGAUUGAUGAUAGCUGUAGAAAUCAAAUAGCUUAAAGCCUGAAAUCAGUGUUUGAACGCAAUUUUAUAUAGUAGUAAUCUCAGACCCAAAACCUUAGGUUAAUCACAGUAAUUACCAGGGGGUUUAAAGGGUAAUUUAGACAGUUUAAAUGGGCUAUCAUUACAGGGUAUUUUGGAAAUAGAAAGUGGUCAGAUUUGACCAAAUUAGUGGUAUGUUAGUCAAGCACCAAUAAGAAAAAAAACUUACAUUAGUUUAAUGCUAGUAGGUAAUAAAUCCUUAGAUCAUGCCUUAAUUUAAGGAAGAAAAUAAGGAAACGCUUUUUCUUUAGUGGGAUUUAGUUUGAAAAUAGGCACCUUUUCUUGGGGUGGUUGGUGGGAUAAGUGCAGUUUUUCAAAGAGGGUAGGUUUAGGAGCUUCUGUAAAUACAUAGAGUUAAGGAGUAAGUAAGGACUGAAAAAAAAGGACCCCGAGAGAAUAUACUGAGGGAUAGAGUGAGGUUUAAGGCUAAGUUACCAAAAGAGAGCUUCAGCUAUUUUCUUCUUAAGUGCUUGAAAUCAAAAGCUACUGUCCAUCUCUGCUUUGAUUUGGUGUUUGUUGUCUGAUACUACUAUUUUCAAUUGGUAUUGCUAAGCUUUUCUGUUGGUAUUCAAAGUCCUAUUGCAUCUAUUCCUGGACACUUUAUGUUGGGUUUUCUUCAUCUAUUGCUGGGAUUUCCGCUAUUUCCAUUAGUUCUUGCUGUGUGUUGUUGAAGAUGUGUGUUGUUGUGAUUGCUAAUCCUAUGUUGAUACUUCCUCUCUUCCUUGCCUUUCAAGAUUACCAGGUACAUAACUUACAACGGUAAAUGUAGCUGGAACAAUUCGAAGAAUGAAUAAAAUGAGCUUUAAAGCUCGAAGUCAUUAGCUGUAGUUUUAUAUUCUAUAUAUGUGUAUGUUAG
rnacentral:lncRNA from 1 species